rnacentral:rRNA from 1 species
AGUGAGGUGGCGAACGGGUGAGUAACACGUGAGUAACCUGCCCGUCUUCUUUGGGAUAACGCCCGGAAACGGGUGCUAAUACUGGAUAUUCACUGAUCUUCGCAUGGGGGUUGGUGGAAAGGUUUUUUCUGGUGGGGGAUGGGCUCGCGGCCUAUCAGCUUGUUGGUGGGGUGAUGGCCUACCAAGGCUUUGACGGGUAGCCGGCCUGAGAGGGUGACCGGUCACAUUGGGACUGAGAUACGGCCCAG